AACCUUUGCUGUCUUGGGACGGAUCACCGCUGCAAGAGGGGAAGUUGCUACUGUGAUGAAUUCUGCCAUGUGGCACCAGACUGCCACCCAGACCACAGUGUCCUCUGCAACCCUGGUCAAAGGUGCCUACAUGCUCCUUCUAGCUUUGUUUCCCUGAUGUUCCUUGCCACCUGCUACUCCUCUCUGAGCUACUUUUCCAGCUUCUCAGAUGACCAAGAUGGUGCUGCAGAUGGUGCUGAGGAUGGAGAACCCACCAAGCCCCGCUAGGAGCCACCUAGACUGGAUGCAGAGCAUGGCCCAUCAGAAACUCAAAAGAAUGCGACCUUUGUCUCUCACCCACCUGUGACCUGGAAGCUUUCUCCUGGCUGCGAGUUGUCCCACAUUUGCUUGGCGUUGCCCGGCCUUUUCCAGACUGAACCAAUGUUCAUCUUACAUGUGUUGAUUGAUGUCUCAUGUCUCCCUAAAACGUAUGACCACCUUGGCACAUGUCGUCAGGACAUCCUGAGGCUGUGUCACGGGUGUG
ensembl:lncRNA MUC20-OT1 MUC20 overlapping transcript